rnacentral:tRNA from 1 species
GCUGACAUAGCUCAAUUGGUAGAGCAGCGGUUUUGUAAACCGCAGGUUGUGGGUUCAAGUCCCUCUGUCAGCUCCA